GAUGAAGACGCAGCGAAAUGCGAUAAGUAAUGUGAAUUGCAGAAUUCAGUGAAUCAUCGAAUCUUUGAACGCAUCUUGCGCUCCUUGGUAUUCUGAGGAGCAUGCCUGUUUGAGUGUCAUUAAAUUCUCAACUACACUGACUUUGAAUUGGUGUGGCUUGGAUUUGGGGGGAAAAUUGUUGUGGGCUUUUUGUAUAGUCUGCUCCCCUGAAAUUGAUUAGCGGUACCUUUGUGGAACUGUCUACAGGUGUGAUAAUUAUCUACAUCUUAGACAUCUGCUGGAAUGCUGCUUUCUAAACCUUACUUGUAUUGACAAUCUUGACCUCAAAUCAGGUAGGACUACCCGCUGAACUUAAGCAUAUCAAUAAGCGGAGGA
rnacentral:misc_RNA from 1 species